CCUUGGCUGGCUUGGUCAGUAAAGCAUGUGACUCUUGAUCUCAGGGUUGUGAGUUCGAGUCCCAUGUUGGGUA
rnacentral:tRNA from 1 species